rnacentral:tRNA from 2 species
GCGGGCAUGGCGGAAUUGGCAGACGCGCUAGCUUCAGGAGCUAGUGGGGGCAACCCCGUGGAGGUUCAAGUCCUCUUGCCCGCA